GGUGACAUGGAUGAUGAAGACGGCCGGUGCCUGUUAGACGUCAUCUGCGAUCCUCAGGCCCUGAACGAUUUCUUGCAUGGAUCCGAGAAGAUCGACAGCGAUGAUCUCCUGGACAACUCCGGAGACGCCGCCAGCGCCUUCUUCGAAGGUGCCGGGGUAAGAAUU